UACGGGGGGGGCAAGCGUUGUUCGGAAUUACUGGGCGUAAAGGGCUCGUAGGUGGCCAACUAAGUCAGACGUGAAAUCCCUCGGCUUAACCGGGGAACUGCGUCUGAUACUGGAUGGCUUGAGUUUGGGAGAGGGAUGCGGAAUUCCAGGUGUAGCGGUGAAAUGCGUAGAUAUCAGGAGGAACACCCGUGGCGAAGGCGGCUUCCUGGGGCCAUCCUGACACUGAGAAGCGAAAGCUAGGGGAGCGAACGGG
rnacentral:rRNA from 1 species